UACGUAGGGGGCGAGCGUUGUCCGGAUUUACUGGGCGUAAAACGCUUGUAGGCGGCCACGCCAAGUCGGAUGUGAAAUCUCCCGGCUUAACUGGGAGGGGUCAUGCGAUACUGGCGGGCUCGAGGCAGGUAGGGGGAAGCGGAAUUCCCGGUGUAGUGGUGGAAUGCGUAGAUAUCGGGAGGAACACCAGUGGCGAAGGCG
rnacentral:rRNA from 1 species